rnacentral:rRNA from 1 species
UACGAAGGGGGCUAGCGUUGCUCGGAAUUACUGGGCGUAAAGGGCGCGUAGGCGGCACUGUUAGUCAGGCGUGAAAUUCCUGGGCUCAACCUGGGGACUGCGCUUGAUACGGCAGAGCUAGAGGAUGGAAGAGGCUCGCGGAAUUCCCAGUGUAGAGGUGAAAUUCGUAGAUAUUGGGAAGAACACCGGUGGCGAAGGCGGCGAGCUGGUCCAUUACUGACGCUGAGGCACGAAAGCGUGGGGAGCAAACAGG